UUUUUUCACUUCAAAAUGGCAGGCGAAUUGGAUUGGCAAAACGGUGUUGUUACUGACAUUAUGCGCGGUCCCAAUCAGGGGAACCUGAACAAUCUGGCCGUCAUAGUGGAUCGCAGCGCGGAGUUAUUUCGGGAUAUCCCAAUCACCUUGCAAAACCUGGAGGUCGCUCCUGCUUUGGAUAUCCAAUAUUUGCGCAUUAUGGAGGCACUGGCAGUCGCGUGCCACGGGGAUAUCCCGACGAUUGGCAAGGAACUGCACUCUGCUGUCGUGCUGGAACGCUGGGAUUACCACGACAUCGUCAGCCUCGGAGAGUUUCUCAAGCGCUGGCGAGUGAAGGAGGAAGUCAUUAAAAGCAUCAUGCUGCCAGGUGGAUUGCGCUGGCGCACAGGAAACGACCAUUUCCGCGUGGUCUUCAUCGACGCAUUUUUGCGCCCGUUUGCAGUUGGCGCGGACCGUGACGCGGAGUUGUUUAUGCGAUUGGCUCUUCACUGCGGAAUCCCAAAGUUGGCGAAUGUCGUCAAUACCGAACAUUUGAUUGCCGAUGGAGCGUAUAGUUUUCAACGCGCUCGCGACUGCAUCCGCAGCUGUGAACAUCAUAUUCGUGAGAUGCGUAGGCAGCGCGACACUGGGCACCACGUUCAACGGGUGCGCUGUCCGUACUGUGCCGCAGAUCCUGUCGCUCACCGUUUGAACCAACACGUUAUGGAUGCCCAUCGUGAUCAGUUUAUGCAGAAUGGAUUUGAGUGUGAAAAGUGUCACCUGCCGGUGCGCGGUCCGGCGGAUAGAACCAGCCCGGAUGCUACGUUUCAUGCGGCAAUCUGCCCGUUUAUGGAAAGCGCGUUUUUCGACGAUAUUUUGCCGGCGAACGGACGAGCUUUUCCCGUUUCCAAGGAAUUUCAUCGUCGCUUUCGCCGCGGGCAGGGAUUCCACGGAGAAGCGGCUAUCCAAUAUAAUCAGGCUGGCGGAUUUGCGUUCGAUAUUCAGGAGUGUAGACACGUUCGGGAUAUCCCAAUGGUUUUGUGCUGCAAUGAGGGAAUUAACCUUUUGUUGUGAAUAUUACAUUUCGCAGUCUGUUCAGGUAUCGGCUCCACUGGUUUUAGUUUCAUUAGGAAUUUGCCUUAGUAGUAUAUGUUUCCUGCAGAGCGCAGUGUGGGAAAGCGUUUUGUUCUGAUUGGGGAAUGGUUGUAUCUUUUGUGAUUUAUUUUUUUGGAAGUAUUACGGACAAAUAGAGUGCAGGAGGUUACGUUCAAGAUGUUUACUGCAUCGACGAGCCGUUGAAAUGACCGAGCCGUAUCUGCGAUUUUCUUUGGAUUUGUUAUUUGUGUCAAUAAGCGUGAGCACUGUUGUCCCAAAUGGACGUUAAAAUCAAGUAUC